CAUACUCAUAGCGUACGGAUCCCACGCUCCAGCAUACUUACGUAUUUACAGAAAACAGAGGGGGGAGACCCAGAGAGAGGACGGUGCUGAGAUGUUUAGAGAGGAUUUGGGAGUCGAGCUGCAGCAACAUUAACGAGGAAAGGGAGGGCAGGGCGCCCCAGAAAACAAUCGAGCUGCUCACAUGAGCUUCGAAAGAGACCGAGAAGAAGACACACAAACAUUCCUAAUUCCUUGCCUUGGCUGGAUAACACGGCUGCAAAAGGAAAUGGAGAACCGGAAGAAUCAUCCUUAGUUGUGUUCAGAGACAGAUGUUUUCAGCGAAUCGCUAGGCCCUAGUGCUCUAUUCCACUCUGUAACACGGCAAAUUAACGCUCACCAAGAAGAGAACGCUAAGGACUUAGAAUUCACGUGCUUCUCAGAGGAAAUGGUUUGAUGGAACUAAUUAUUAGAAGGAAGACAGGCAUGAGAUGAAAAGCAUCCAUUUUUGAUGUAUCCAGAACAUAGGGAACAGGCAAUAAAGCAUUUGACUGGCCAACGGGA